GGAGAGGGUAAGAGGAAUUGCUGUGGCCAGGCUGUGGUUUCAGGCAGUAUCUCAGCAUGUGCAUUUUUCUUUUUUUCUUUUUUUUCAGGUGCUGUACGCAGCCUCAGAGGGGCGAAGCCGUGUGCCGGUGACCGGUCUGAGAAGGCACCGUGCGGGCUGCCUUUGGAAUUGGACGUGCAGUUGUGGUGCCACAAGCGAUGAUGGCCGCAGCGUACGACUCUGGAACGAGCAGGUGA